rnacentral:pre_miRNA from 1 species
UCGGAGGAGAGCAGACUGGUGGUCGAAAUCCCGACCUCAGUCUGCGCUCCUCUCCAGC